UACGUAGGGUGCGAGCGUUAAUCGGAAUUACUGGGCGUAAAGCGUGCGCAGGCGGUUUUGUAAGCCAGAUGUGAAAGCCCCGGGCUUAACCUGGGAAUGGCAUUUGGGACUGCAAGGCUGGAGUGUGGCAGAGGAGACUGGAAUUCCUGGUGUAGCAGUGAAAUGCGUAGAUAUCAGGAGGAACACCGAUGGCGAAGGCAGGUCUCUGGGCUGACACUGACGCUCAUGCACGAAAGCGUAG
rnacentral:rRNA from 1 species